CCUACGGGGAGCAGCAGUGAGGAAUAUUGGUCAAUGGACGAGAGUCUGAACCAGCCAAGUAGCGUGAAGGAUGACUGCCCUAUGGGUUGUAAACUUCUUUUAUAUGGGAAUAAAACGUUCCACGUGUGGGAUUUUGUAUGUACCAUAUGAAUAAGGAUCGGCUAACUCCGUGCCAGCAGCCGCGGUAAUACGGAGGAUCCGAGCGUUAUCCGGAUUUAUUGGGUUUAAAGGGAGCGUAGGUGGAUUGUUAAGUCAGUUGUGAAAGUUUGCGGCUCAACCGUAAAAUUGCAGUUGAAACUGGCAGUCUUGAGUACAGUAGAGGUGGGCGGAAUUUGUGGUGUAGCGGUGAAAUGCUUAGAUAUCACGAAGAACUCCGAUUGCGAAGGCAGUUCACUGGACUGCAACUGACACUGAGGCUCGAAAGUGUGGGUAUCAAACAGGAUUAGAUACCCUAGUAGUC
rnacentral:rRNA from 1 species